UCGAGAAAGUUUAAAAAGGAAAAUUAUAUUAUUUUUAAAUGCUUAGGUUAAUACAUUUUAAAAUAUAUUGUAAUUAGUCUGUAAGGUUAUUUAUUAUCUAUCGACUUAAAUAAAAAAAAUACACUGGUGCGCAUGACACCAAAUCCAGUCUGGAAGCCAUAAAUGGACUUCGUUCAAAAAGUGCGUAUACCAAUUCAAAGAGGAGAUCAACUCCUUUAAUUUGGUGCACCACAAAUAUCACAGAACUGUUUUUCGUAGAACAAUCCUUCUAGAUUUCUAUUUUGAAACUGGAGGCAGGACAUUAAAUCCAGUCUGGAAGCCAUUAAAGGACUUCGUUCAAAAACUGCGUACACCAUGUCAAAGAGAACAUCAAUACCUAUAAAUUAGUGUUCCAUGCAUAUCCCAGUAUCGUUUUUGUAGAAUAAUCCUUCGAGAUUUCUAUUUUGAAACUAGAGAGCAGGACACCAAAUUCAGUCUUUAGGAAUUUCGUUUCGUACAACAAUCUUUCCGGAUUUUUAUUUACAAACUUGAGGGCGGCACAGAUACGGUUGAUGGUAACAUUGGUGAUAACUAUACAGGGUGACAUAAUAUUGUAAACAAGUUUCUACUUUAAGCCCUGUACGCAGCUCUAGUCAAAUUUUCGCUUGCAAAUAGACAAAGUAGCGACAGUUGUAAAACAACAAAAAAAUGUUUUUGACAGAUUAGAGCAGCUCUGACUUUGACAGAUUGUGUUUUGCGCCAUCAGUGUGCGUGGUGUUGUGUUGCUUCAAUGCAGAAAUUUGAAAAGCAUAAUGCAUAUUUAUUAAACAAAAAAUCAAUUAUUAAACAUUGCGGUAUUUUUUAUAAUUGUGUGUAUUGGACUCUCCACAAAGGAACCUUGUUGACCACGUACAAACCAAUUGGCCGGUCUGUGGUAAGUUAUGCAGCCCCAGUGUGGUCUCGUCAGCUUUGUGACACGCCAUGGAAAAAUAUUCAGAUCUGUCAGAAUGCCGCCCUCCGGACUGCGAUAGGCUAUCUCCUCAGUUCUCAUGUGGACCAUCUUCAUCAGGAAACAAAGAUCCUACCAGUGCGACGACAAGAAGGAUCUUCAGCAAAAAUGUAACGCACUGCAACCACCAUAUAAAAAGAACGGAAUCUAUUGCAAUGUAAUACCACUUUCCUAAUGUAAAAUAAUUUUAAUUUUAUUCGUAUCAUAAUAUCUAUCAUAUAAAUUGUUACAUCAAACAAAUCAUA